rnacentral:rRNA from 1 species
AGCGAACGCUGGCGGCAGGCUUAACACAUGCAAGUCGAGCGGGCAUCCUUGUGGUGUCAGCGGCAGACGGGUGAGUAACGCGUGGGAACGUGCCCUUCGGUUCGGAAUAACUCAGGGAAACUUGAGCUAAUACCGGAUACGUGCGAGAGCAGAAAGGUUUAUCUGCCGAAGGAUCGGCCCGCGUCUGAUUAGCUAGUUGGUGAGGUUAUGGCUCACCAAGGCGACGAUCAGUAGCUGGUCUGAGAGGAUGAUCAGCCACACUGGGACUGAGACACGGCCCAGACUCCUACGGGGGGCAGCAGUGGGGAAUAUUGGACAAUGGGGGCAACCCUGAUCCAGCCAUGCCGCGUGAGUGAUGACGGCCUUAGGGUUGUAAAGCCCUUUUCUUCGGGACGAUAAUGACGGUACCGGAGGAAUAAGCCCCGGCUAACUUCGUG